rnacentral:rRNA from 1 species
CCACUCGGGUAUUGGCCUUAGUACGGCGAGUGAGCGGCAAAAGCUCAAAUUUGAAAUCUGGCACCUUCGGUGUCCGAGUUGUAAUUUGAAGAAGGUAACUUUGGAGUUGGCUCUUGUCUAUGUUCCUUGGAACAGGACGUCACAGAGGGUGAGAAUCCCGUGCGAUGAGAUGCCCAAUUCUAUGUAAAGUGCUUUCGAAGAGUCGAGUUGUUUGGGAAUGCAGCUCUAAGUGGGUGGUAAAUUCCAUCUAAAGCUAAAUAUUGGCGAGAGACCGAUAGCGAACAAGUACAGUGAUGGAAAGAUGAAAAGAACUUUGAAAAGAGAGUGAAAAAGUACGUGAAAUUGUUGAAAGGGAAGGGCUUGAGAUCAGACUUGGUAUUUUGCGAUCCUUUCCUUCUUGGUUGGGUUCCUCGCAGCUUACUGGGCCAGCAUCGGUUUGGAUGGUAGGAUAAUGACUAAGGAAUGUGGCUCUACUUCGGUGGAGUGUUAUAGCCUUGGUUGAUACUGCCUGUCUAGACCGAGGACUGCGUCUUUUGACUAGGAUGUUGGCAUAAUGAUCUUAAGCCACCCGUCUUGACAAAACGGAACCAA